rnacentral:lncRNA from 1 species
CCACUCUACUUUAAAUAGGAUUUUAUUGGAAAAAACAUAUGUGUACAUAGUCGAGAGCCCACAAAAUCAGAGUUCAUUCCUCAUAUGUGAUUCUGUCAAUUAGGCAGUAUUUUGAUGGGGGUUCCUUUUUGGUUUCCCCCUUAAAUAUAACAGAUUUAAAUUUAAUUGAGACUAUUUUGGUGUAUGGCUGCAAGGCAAAAAUGUCACUCUGUCACACAAAAGAUAAAAAGAAAGUAGAUUUGGGGGAACUCUGACACCAAAAGCAAUUGCCAGAAGCGUUUAAAGAUAAUAUUUUCAUUGGCCAGACGACAGUCGAAGAAGUAACCAAACCUCUUGUGGAAGGAGUGCACCAUAUCGGUUACACUCAGAGUCUGUGUGGGUUCAGAGUUUGCUUAGCAGCCACACAGACACAGCAGCAUGAAGAGGUGGUGGAGCCCGAGCCCCAGGUCGGGGACCACAGUAAAGCCCAACGUUGCCAAAAUCUCAGUGUGCAUUGGCAAUCAGUGUUAAAUAAACGAGCAGGCCAAGUGCCAGAUACUGAUGCGAGUCCAUCGAGUCCACAGGAGAAUGCUGUCCAAGAGCCAGAUUUACUAGAGAGUCCAAGGGACAAGACCCCCAGACUGAGAGUUGACAACAUGCAAAAUGCAUCAGCAGUUGAAGAGUCUGAAUCCGAGUCCGAGGCCAUUGAUAAAACUUGCAGGAGAGGACGAGGACUA